rnacentral:rRNA from 1 species
UGGGGAAUAUUGGACAAUGGGCGAAAGCCUGAUCCAGCCAUGCCGCGUGAGUGACGAAGGCCUUAGGGUUGUAAAACUCUUUCGUCGGGGACGAUAAUGACGGUACCCGAAGAAGAAGCUCCGGCUAACUUCGUGCCAGCAGCCGCGGUAAUACGAAGGGAGCUAGCGUUGUUCGGAAUCACUGGGCGUAAAGCGCACGUAGGCGGAUAGUUAAGUCAGGGGUGAAAUCCUGGGGCUCAACCCCAGGACUGCCUUUGAUACUGGCUGUCUCGAGGUCGAGAGAGGUUGGUGGAAUUCCUAGUGUAGAGGUGAAAUUCGUAGAUAUUAGGAAGAACACCAGUGGCGAAGGCGGCCAACUGGCUCGAUACUGACGCUGAGGUGCGAAAGCGUGGGGAGCAAACGGGAUUAGAUACCCAAGUAGUCCCUGAGCGGGCUGGCAAGGCGCAU